CUUCACCCUUAAAAAUAUCUCGACUCUCUCUCUCUCUCUCUCUCUCACAAAUUUUCUAUCCCUCUCCUUCCCUAGGGUUCAAAACCACCAUUCCGUUAGAUUCGACUCAUUCUUUUUCUUUUUUUUAAUAUUCAUAUAAAAAAAAAGUUCCAUCAUGAUGCAACAGCCAGCAUCCGGGGUGGUCCCACAGCAGAUGCCGUCGGAACAGCAGUACCAGCAGGCGCACGCCGCUGCCGCUGCGGCGGCGCAGCAACAACAGCAGCAGCAGUGGAUGAUGCAAUAGCAACAGCAGCAGCAGGUACUACAACAACAGUCUGGGUGGGCCCAGCCUCAACAGGCCCAAGCCCAGGCCCAGUACUCGGCCCAACAGACUGCCGGGUCGGAAGAGAUCCGCUCUCUCUGGAUUGGAGACUUGCUUCCCUGGAUGGAAGAGAAUUACCUCCUUAGCUGCUUCGCUCAUACCGGAGAGGUUGUAUCUGCUAAGGUUAUCCGCAAUAAGCAAAGUCAGAUAUCUGAUGGUUAUGGUUUCGUUGAAUUUGUUAUCAACAAAACAUUUGCUUUCAUAAGAGAAAGUAAAAGCCUAUAACUUCAGUGGACAUGAACACAAACCUUACUAAUUACAACAUGUCAACAUUGCAUGUUUUUCAUCAAAUUAUAAAAGAA